rnacentral:lncRNA from 1 species
UGGCGAUAAAUAUGCAACUGAGUGACGCCUAGGUUACGCGAAUUAGCAUGAAAAUGAAAUCUACUGACAUGAUUAAAAGAGUGUAGGAGGUGAAGGUGGAUUCGUAUCUCACCCUCGGCUAUAGAGGAAGUAGUCAAACAACAACGGGAUCAUGGAACAAAAUCUUCAAUGGUGAUGACUCCAAGGAGAUGAAAUAGAACAAAGCCUAUAUAUUUUAUCGAGUGAAAAAAAUUUAGGUCAUCACAUCAAAGCAUUGACAGUUCAAACUAUGAAAAAAAUCAUAUUGUUAAUGACAUCUCCUCUUCUCUUCUUCUUCUUCUUCUUCUUCUUCUCCUCCUCCUCCUCCUCCUUCUUCUUCUUCUUCUUCUUCUUCUC